CGCUGGCGGCGUGCCUAAUACAUGCAAGUCGAGCGGAAACGAUCCUAGCUUGCUAGGAGGCGUCGAGCGGCGGACGGGUGAGGUAACGCGUGAGAAUCUACCCAUGAGUGGGGGACAACCCGGGGGAAACUCGGGCUAAUACCGCAUACGCCCUACGGGGUAAAGCAGGGGACCUUCGGGCCUUGCGCUGAUGGAUGAGCUCGCGUCGGAUUAGCUUGUUGGUGAGGUAAAGGCUCACCAAGGCGACGAUCCGUAGCUGGUCUGAGAGGAUGAUCAGCCACACCGGGACUGAGACACGGCCCGGACUCCUACGGGAGGCAGCAGUGGGGAAUCUUGGACAAUGGGGGCAACCCUGAUCCAGCCAUGCCGCGUGUGUGAAGAAGGCCUUCGGGUUGUAAAGCACUUUCAGCAGGGAGGAAGGCUUACCCCUAAUACGGGUGAGUACUUGACGUUACCUGCAGAAGAAGCACCGGCUAAUUUCGUG
rnacentral:rRNA from 1 species